rnacentral:rRNA from 1 species
UACGAAGGGGGCUAGCGUUGUUCGGAUUUACUGGGCGUAAAGCGCACGUAGGCGGAUUGUUAAGUCAGGGGUGAAAUCCUGGAGCUCAACUCCAGAACUGCCUCUGAUACUGGCAAUCUUGAGUCCGGGAGAGGUGAGUGGAACUGCGAGUGUAGAGGUGAAAAUUCGUAGAUAUUCGCAAGAACACCAGUGGCGAAAGGCGGCUCACUGGCC